GGAAGGAUCAUUAGUGAAUCUAGGGUGUCCAAUUUAACUUGGAGCCCGAACUCUCACUUUCUAACCCUGUGCAUCUGUUAUUGGUUAGUAACUCUUCGGAGUGAACUCCAUUCACUUACAAACACAAAGUCUAUGAAUGUAUAUAAAUUAUAACAAAACAAAACUUUCAACAACGGAUCUCUUGGCUCUCGCAUCGAUGAAGAACGCAGCGAAAUGCGAUACGUAAUGUGAAUUGCAGAAUUCAGUGAAUCAUCGAAUCUUUGAACGCACCUUGCGCUCCUUGGUAUUCCGAGGAGCAUGCCUGUUUGAGUGUCAUGAAAUCUUCAACCCACCUCUUUCUUAGUGAAUCUGGUGGUGCUUGGUUUCUGAGCGCUGCUCUGCUUCGGCUUAGCUCGUUCGUAAUGCAUUAGCAUCCGCAAUCGAACUUCGGAUUGACUUGGCGUAAUAGACUAUUCGCUGAGGAUUCUAGUCUCUGACUAGAGCCGGGUUUGGUUAAAGGAAGCUUCUAAUCCUAAAGUCUAUUUUUUGAUUAGAUCUCAAAUCAGGUAGGACUACCCGCUGAACUUAAGCAUAUCAAUAAGCGGAGGAAAAGAAACUAACAAGGAUUCCCCUAGUAGCGGCGAGCGAAGCGGGAAGAGCUCAAAUUUAUAAUCUGGCACCUUCGGUGUCCGAGUUGUAAUCUCUAGAAGUGUUUUCCGCGUUGGACCGCACACAAGUCUGUUGGAAUACAGCGGCACAGUGGUGAUACCCCCGUACACGGUGCGGACGCCCAGCGCUUUGUGAUACACUUUCAAAGAGUCGAGUUGUUUGGGAAUGCAGCUCAAAUUGGGUGGUAAAUUCCAUCUAAAGCUAAAUAUUGGCGAGAGACCGAUAGCGAACAAGUACCGUGAGGGAAAGAUGAAAAGCACUUUGGAAAGAGAGUUAACAGUACGUGAAAUUGUUGGAAGGGAAACGCUUGAAGUCAGACUUGCUUGCCGGAGCUUGCUUCGGUUUGCAGGCCAGCAUCAGUUUUUCGGGGUGGAUAAUGGCGGUUUGAAGGUAGCAGUCUCGUGCUGUGUUAUAGCUUUCCGCUGGAUACACCCUGGGGGACUGAGGAACGCAGCGUGCUUUUAGCGAAGGUUUCGACCUUUUCACGCUUAGGAUGCUGGUGGAAUGGCUUUAAACGACCCGUCUUGAAACACGGACCAAGGAGUCUAACAUGCUCGCGAGUAUUUGGGUGUCAAACCCGGAUGCGCAAUGAAAGUGAAUGUAGGUGGGAACCGCAAGGUGCACCAUCGACCGAUCUGGAUUUUUUAAGAUGGAUUUGAGUAAGAGCGCGUAUGUUGGGACCCGAAAGAUGGUGAACUAUGCCUGAAUAGGGCGAAGCCAGAGGAAACUCUGGUGGAGGCUCGUAGCGGUUCUGACGUGCAAAUCGAUCGUCAAAUUUGGGUAUAGGGGCGAAAGACUAAUCGAACCAUCUAGUAGCUGGUUCCUGC
rnacentral:misc_RNA from 1 species